AUCAGUGUCUUGGCUGCUUUUCCUUUUCCUUUGUUUUUGCUGUGGGUAGGUGCGUCCUCUUCGUUUUUCCCCACGCCUCGCUUCCGCCGUGCGCCGCCGGAAUGCUCCUUGUCCGCCCCGCCUUUUCAUGGUUGGUGGUCUUGGUGCACGCUUCCGUGCCUGGUGCGGGUGGGGCAGGUGCGGCCCGCGGCGGUGGCCGUAACGGUGCCGGGUGGGGCAGGCGGUCGGCGACGCUACAGGCCGUCCCGGCCAAGGCGGUGACGAUCCAUCGAGGCGGCGGCUGCUGGGCGUAGGGUUCAGGCUGCCGGAGGCGGCCGCUACGACGGGUUCGGCCGGAUCGAUGACGGAUCCAGCUGAGAAGGGUGCAGAUCCGGUGAUGCUGGUCGUGGAUUUGGGAGCUUGCGGUCGUUGUUUGCGACGGCGGCCUCGACUGGACUUUCGUUGCCACGGCAUGCCGGCCCCUCGCCGUGCUCACGUCGCCCUUUUUUCGUUCGUCGUCUGAUCGUUCGUUUGUGGCUUGAUGCGUUGCUCUCUCUCAGCUUUCCCUCUCUGCCUCCGCGAGCUCGCGAAACCCUCGGGGCCCUCGGGGAGCCGCGCCGCGCGAGCACCGAGCAGCCAUGGACUCGGCGUCGCUCCUGGAAGCGCACCGCCGCGAUCGGCGCGCCCUCCUCGGCUGCAUCCUCUCCUCCGCCGGCGGCCGCGCCGUCGACCUCUCCUGCGUGGACCUCGACGACGUCAGCGCCGACUACGCCCUUGACUACGUCGCCUCCGAGGCGUGCAGUUUGACGCCUCAGCAGCCACCGUGAGGUAUUUUGACGAGAGGAGAUACUCGAUCAUGGAGACCCCUGAGAACCUCAACUUCGCUAUGAACUUCACCGAGAAAGCUCUGUGCUAUGAGUCCCCUCCUCAGUAUGACAUACACGAUCAUGGUUCAGCUGUAGGUGGCCAACAAGAGCGAAGCGUCAAUCUCUCUUGAGGACAACGACACUGUUAUUGUCGCCUCUGACCACGGCCAGGAGGCCUUCUCACAUCUUCAGACUUGGUAUCCAUUAACUUCUUUCGGCUUACUAAGCCUGUGAAGCCAGGUGCCAUAAUAUUUGUUCGGCAAGGUUUCUUCACGGGCAGUUGUGUGGAUUUGGGCUAUUGAUUUUUGUUAGUAUCAUUGUGUUCGACAUCUCAAAUCUUCAAUUUGGUUCUUUUAGCUGUUAUGAUCUAUAAGCGCAUUUAUUGUACUGGAGAUUUGAGAUGCUUAACUUCAUACUAUUGAAAAUUAGUGUGAAGUGAUUCAGUUCAUGAUUCGCUUUACCAAUGUCUUGAAUUUCCAAUAAAUUAUUCAUAUUGUGAUUCUGUAUCUGGCGGCUGCACUCACAUGUUCAGUUUAAUUUAUUUGAAGACAGACCAAUAGUUCCAGGAACGGAGCAACUAAUGUUACAGCUGAAAUUGUGUGCAUUUCUUGCUUGAUCUGUGCGCAUCUGGCUGUUUAUCAGCUCAUGAUUUUACAUGAUGCAUCUCUGUUUAACCUCAUCUUUUGCGAUGAGAGGG